UACGUAGGGUGCAAGCGUUAAUCGGAAUUACUGGGCGUAAAGCGUGCGCAGGCGGUUUUGUAAGUCUGACGUGAAAUCCCCGGGCUCAACCUGGGAAUUGCGAUGGAGACUGCAAGGCUAGAAUCUGGCAGAGGGGGGUAGAAUUCCACGUGUAGCAGUGAAAUGCGUAGAGAUGUGGAGGAACACCGAUGGCGAAGGCAGCCCCCCUGGGUCAAGAUUGACGCUCAUGCACGAAAGCGUGGGGAGCA
rnacentral:rRNA from 1 species